GACGAACGCUGGCGGCGUGCUUAACACAUGCAAGUCGAACGGAAAGGCCCUGCUUUUGUGGGGUGCUCGAGUGGCGAACGGGUGAGUAACACGUGAGUAACCUGCCCUUGACUUUGGGAUAACUUCAGGAAACUGGGGCUAAUACCGGAUAGGAGCUCCUGCUGCAUGGUGGGGGUUGGAAAGUUUCGGCGGUUGGGGAUGGACUCGCGGCGUAUCAGCUUGGUGGUUGGGUAGUGGCUUACCAAGGCUUUGACGGGUAGCCGGCCUGCGAGGGUGACCGGCCACAUUGGGACUGAGAUGCGGCCCAGACUCCUACGGGAGGCAGCAGUGGGGAAUAUUGCACAAUGGGCGGAAGCCUGAUGCAGCAACGCCGCGUGCGGGAUGAAGGCCUUCGGGUUGUAAACCGCUUUCGCCUGUGACGAAGCGUGAGUGACGGUAAUGGGUAAAGAAGCACCGGCUAACUACGUG
rnacentral:rRNA from 1 species